GCCAGUGUGAUUUAAUGGUUUGAGUGUAUGAUUAGGACUCUAGGAAACUAGGGUUCAAAUCCCUGCUCAGCCA